GCGUAUUUAUUAAAUUUAAAUAUCUAUUAUUUUAUUCAUAUUUCUUAGUUCUCAUGCAUUCUAAUAUCGCUUCGUUACCUUCGGGUGUGGGCCAGCACGUGCUUACCCUCAUGUUUGUGAGAAUAUCAGGGUCAGGCAUGUCACCAUUUUUUUAAAAGGAAAACUAAUGAAAAUGACUUGAAAACUUUGAGUUUUAACAAUAAGGACAAAGUAAAGGGUAAAGUGAAUAGUACCAUGAUUGACUUUUUAUUGUAAAAAUGUGAUUUUUCAUUAAAGUAAACAGUACCGGGAGCUUUUCAUUAAAGUUCCUUUUUUUUAAUUAUUCAUCCGAUUUGGUAACCGAAAAAACAGUAAGAAUUGAAAGUUGAAAGUUUUACAUAAAACUCUACUCAUUUUAUUAGGUUUUAAGAGGUAUAUCUUGAUUGA
rnacentral:lncRNA from 1 species